AUGCUCUUCACAAUUAAUUUAGUCUUACUGGUUGUCUGUUCGCUGGAAUACAGCAUUGCUGAAGACAAAGUUGAGCAGCCAGAUAGAAUAAUGACUGCUGUGGAAGGUGGACAAGUUACAAUCAAAUGCAAAUACACCUCUGAUUACCCAUACCUAUUCUGGUACCAGCAAAAGCCAAACAUGACCCCUAAAUAUGUACUCAACAAACUUACCUCUGGUAGAGGAGAUUCAGAGAAAGAAUUUAAGGGGAGAUUUGAUGCGACUCUUGACACCAGCACAACGACUGUUCCUCUGACCAUCAAGGAUCUCCAACUCUCUGACUCUGCUGUGUACUACUGUGCUCUGAGGCCCACAGUGGCAGGAACUGGUUGA